GUGGGCAGCACAUGUACUAAAAUUGGAACAAUACAGAGGUUAGCAUGGCCCCUGCAUAAGGAUCACAUGCAAACCAGUGUACCUCAUUAUGAAACU
ensembl:snRNA U6 U6 spliceosomal RNA